rnacentral:tRNA from 1 species
UCUUAGAUGACUGAGAAAAAUAAGUGUUAGAUUUUUAAUCUAAAAACGGCAAGUAUAAUGCCUCUAAGAG